UUUUUAAAAUUGCCUUCCUUGUCUCAGAGAGAAAACUCUUUCUCCUCACAUUCCAACAAUUGUUCCGUGACAGCUCAGUGUUUGUUGGAGACAGGAUAAGGAUUCUGAUAGAUCGACCCGGCUUGUACCUUGCAGUGCAGGCUCUUGCCUGUCUGCUGGGACCUAGGGCCGGUAGAGCUGUAACUGCACAGAGAAGACUGCCUGCUUCUUACAGGCUGGUUUUCAAUGUCUGGGAGAGUUUAACUCUGCUCUGCAUCUUCUGCCUCAGCUGGAAUCCUACGUGUAUCCUAUCCCAUUCCUACCAAACCAGUUUAGAACACCAAACAUACCCCCACAGUUUGACCCUUUUUGGCAAUCUUAGAAACUCAAGCAUAGAGUUCAGAGAAAUGUGAGCACCUGUAUGAAGGGAAGAUGGGUACAAAGGAAUGAGUGGGGGUUCCUCUUCACCAUCCCUAAAACUGUAGCAGUAUUUAGCGGCAUCACUGAUAAGGCCGGUCUCAGAACUGUGCAAACAUCUGCCCUGCCUGGCCUCUCAAUGAAAAAGCUUCUACCCCUUAACAGAUAUUUCCACAAACUCGCUGUCCACCUCCCUGUUACAGCAUAAGUCGUACUUCUUUGUCCUUUUCUGGAAAUCAUGAAUGUGAAUGUCAUUUGCAGCAUGCAUUUGUAUAGCGGAUGGAAGUUCUCCAUGGACCAGGCUUUCUCCAAGGCAAUGGGGAGCCAUGGAAAUCUUUGAAGCAGAGGAGUGUUCUACUCAGAACUGUUCUAUUAAAUGAUUAUUGUGCAGCGGGGUGGAAGCUGGAUUAGCAGGAGAAACCCUGGAGACAA